AUUAAUAGUUAUGAACAAAAUUUAAAUCAAACCUUGUCUUCUAUAAUAGAAACUCAGAAUAAUGUUGAAUAGGUUGAUCUCUCGUGACCUGUUUUGUUCUAACAACACAUUAGACUCUUCAGCAUUGCUCAGUAUGAUGUUCUACUUUUUCCGUAUCAUUUGAGGAAAUUAAUUUAUUCUUUCAAUACGCUGCAUGCAGAUGAAAUACAAUUUUAAAUAGUUUAACAUGGAAAAAACCUAAGUUGACAUAAUAAUAUUUGACAGGUAAGGCGAUUUAGCUUGCUACAUUGGAUGUAUAUAAUAUAAGAGAAGUCAAAUAACAAUGUAAUGUCCCAUUAAAAAUCGUCAUUUUACUGUUACAAAUGUACACUAUGUCCUGUUAUUGAUAGGUUUAAUACUGAUACUUUUAUACUGCUGCUUCUGUAACCUCC
rnacentral:lncRNA from 1 species